AGCUUUGCGCAGUGGCAGUAUCAUAGCCAAUGAGGUUUAUCUGAGGCGCGAUUAUUGGUAAUUGAAAACUUUUCCCAAUACCCCACCAUGAUGACUUGAAAUAUAGUAGGCAUUGGCAAUUUUUGCCAGUCUCUAUGGAGA
rnacentral:snRNA from 1 species